rnacentral:tRNA from 1 species
ACCUGGCUGGCUCAGAAGGUAGAGCAUGUGACUCUUGAUCUUGGGGUCGUGAGUUUGACCCCCACGUUGGGGA